CAAAUUAGAGCUUGAAUAAGUAUUUCAUUUACAUUGAAAUGAUAUUGAAAAAUCAAUUGAUUUGA
rnacentral:tRNA from 1 species